UACGUAGGGGGCAAGCGUUGUCCGGAUUUAUUGGGCGUAAAGAGCGUGUAGGCGGCCAAGCAGGUCCGCUGUGAAAACUCGAGGCUCAACCUCGAGACGUCGGUGGAAACCGUUUGGCUAGAGUCCGGAAGAGGAGAGUGGAAUUCCCGGUGUAGCGGUGAAAUGCGCAGAUAUCGGGAAGAACACCCGUGGCGAAGGCGGCUCUCUGGGACGGUACUGACGCUGAGACGCGAAAGCGUGGGGGAGCGAACAGG
rnacentral:rRNA from 1 species